rnacentral:rRNA from 1 species
GACGAACGCUGGCGGCGUGCUUAACACAUGCAAGUCGUACGGUAAGGCCCUUUCGGGGGUCCACGAGUGGCGAACGGGUGAGUAACACGUGAGUAACCUGCCCACAACUUUGGGAUAACGCUAGGAAACUGGUGCUAAUACUGGAUAUGUGCUCCUGCUGCAUGGUGGGGGUUGGAAAGCUCCGGCGGUUGUGGAUGGACUCGCGGCCUAUCAGCUUGUUGGUGGGGUAGUGGCCUACCAAGGCGGCGACGGGUAGCCGGCCUGAGAGGGUGACCGGCCACAUUGGGACUGAGAUACGGCCCAGACGCCUACGGGAUGCAGCAGUGGGGAAUAUUGCACAAGGGGCGCAAGCCUGAUGCAGCAACGCCGCGGGCGGGAUGACGGCCUUCGGGUUGUAAACCGCUUUCAGCAGGGACGAAGCUUUUUGUGACGGUACCUGCAGAAGAAGCACCGGCUAACUACGUG